UACGGGGGGGGCAAGCGUUGUUCGGAAUUACUGGGCGUAAAGGGCUCGUAGGCGGCCAACUAAGUCAGACGUGAAAUCCCUCGGCUUAACCGGGGAACUGCGUCUGAUACUGGAUGGCUUGAGGUUGGGAGAGGGAUGCGGAAUUCCAGGUGUAGCGGUGAAAUGCGUAGAUAUCUGGAGGAACACCGGUGGCGAAGGCGGCGUUCUGGACUGCUACUGACACUGAGGAACGAAAGCCAGGGGAGCAAACGGG
rnacentral:rRNA from 1 species